UAUAUAUAUAUAUAUAUAUAUAUAUAUAUUUAUAUGCCUAAAGUGUUUGGUGUACUCUAACUUUAUUGUAGUUACAGUGAAACGUGAACAUGUCAGACAUUUCAGAUGUUAUUGGAACAUACUAUAUGCACAAACCACCCUGAUUUUGAGAUGAUGCAGAUCCAAAGCCUGUGUCUUCAAGCCUCAGAAUCUGAAUCACAGGUGUGUCCUCCAUUUCUGGAUCAUAGUUCAUUCAAGUUCAUCAUCAUCAUCACCAUCAUCAUCAUCAUCAUCAACAACAACAACAACAAUAUCAAACAACAUUAUGUAACUAUUCCUUGUUCAAUGGCAACUGCAUAAACAAUAAGCUUAGCUGGGUGAGAUCUUCUGUCAAAGUUACCAUUCCCUUAAUCUUUUUAUCUCCUGAAACACAGGAUUUAUUGCCAAAGAACUUUCUGGUGCCCUUUUAUUACUAUUUUUUACUAUUAUUAUUUUUCCUUUUUAAGUUUACUAUGAUUGAUCAAAAUGUUCUUCAUGAGAGUAAACCAGAGGACAAGGUCUAUGGUGGACUUUUUUGAGAAUUCAUUUGUUAAUACAAUUAAUAUAAAUCUCUUUACCUUCGCCUCAGGUAGAUUCUUCAGACAAGGGUAAAAGCAGCCACAUUCUUCACCAAAAUAUACAAGAACAGUCUCUAGGCAACAUCCUAAAACUCCUCCCUGGUACCAACUCUUGUCUUAGGCAGGGUUUCCAUUUCUGUGAAGAGACACCAUGACCAAGGCAACUCUAAUGAAGGAGAUCAUUUAAUUGGGGCUGACUUACAGUUUCAGAGGUUCAAUCUAUUAUCAUCAUGUUAGGAAGCCUGGCAGCAUCUAGGCAGGCAUGGCGCUAGAGGAGCUGAACGUUCUACAUCCUGUUCAGAAGAUAAACAGAAAGCUGGUAUUCUCAGGCAGCUAGAAGGAAGCACUCUUUGCUCACCCUCACAAUGAUACUUUUCCUCCAAAAAGGCCACACCUACUCCAACAAGGCUACACAUCUAAAUAGUGCCACUCCCUGGGCCAAGCAUAUUCACACCACCUCAGACACCCUCUGAAAACUUCUGAACUGUCCCAUGAUUUCCACCAAUCUCUGGGGUUGUGAUUCAGCACCUGUCCCUUCAUCCUUACCAUUCUUCAACUAAUUUUUAUGACCAUUUGGGCUCCUCUUACUCUGCUUCCCUGCUAAUGCCUAAAAAUGUUCCUUUCCCCAAACCAUCCUCAUAGUGUUAAAAAUGUCACAGA
ensembl:lncRNA